UGUUAAAUUUUUUAUUCAUUUCUACUGUUAAAAACUGGUAUGGAUAACUAUAUAAACACAUAGUUACACAUGGUACCUCAUUUUGAGGUACAUGGACCAAUUUUUAACGGUAGAUACGAAUGAAAUUUUUAAUA
rfam:Gossypium raimondii Chr02_contig_1480, whole genome shotgun sequence.